GACGAACGCUGGCGGCGUGCCUAAUACAUGCAAGUUGAGCGCUGAAGGUUGGUACUUGUACCAACUGGAUGAGCAGCGAACGGGUGAGUAACGCGUGGGGAAUCUGCCUUUGAGCGGGGGACAACAUUUGGAAACGAAUGCUAAUACCGCAUAAAAACUUUAAACACAAGUCUUAAGUUUGAAAGAUGCAAUUGCAUCACUCAAAGAUGAUCCCGCGUUGUAUUAGCUAGUUGGUGAGGUAAAGGCUCACCAAGGCGAUGAUACAUAGCCGACCUGAGAGGGUGAUCGGCCACAUUGGGACUGAGACACGGCCCAAACUCCUACGGGAGGCAGCGGUAGGGAAUCUUCGGCAAUGGACGAAAGUCUGACCGAGCAACGCCGCGUGAGUGAAGAAGGUUUUCGGAUCGUAAAACUCUGUUGGUAGAGAAGAACGUUGGUGAGAGUGGAAAGCUCAUCAAGUGACGGUAACUACCCAGAAAGGGACGGCUAACUACGUG
rnacentral:rRNA from 1 species